CGGGGCGUAGCUCAGCUUGGAUAGAGCGCUUGCUUGGGGUGCAAGAGGUCGCUAGUUCAAAUCUAGUCGCUCCGACCA
rnacentral:tRNA from 1 species